AAUAAAAGAAAAACAUCGAUCAUUAUUCAUAAAAGUGCAAUAUGGAUUUUAUAAUUCAAUUUAAAAAAUCCUCUUUUUUAAUCUGUUCUUCAAAAGUCGAAAACGCUAUCCGCCAUGUUGGGUACUGACGUGACGUCAUACUUUUAGUAAACAAAUAUCGAAUCGAAAACAUAUUGAUGAUGUCAGGCUCUGUUUAUUUUGAAAUUUUAAAAUUUCUAUCACGUUUUUGGGUUUUUACUCUUUAAUAAUUUAAUAGAAUCAUGGAAGACGGUUUUGUGAAAGCAGACAAUAUAAAUCUACCGAGGAUUAAUACGUUGAUGGUGGCGAAAUUUUUUGCGUCUAAUCCCGAUUUCUGUUCUGCUGAGUUAAGAAAUGUUAAAACAGCGAUGUCCGGAAGGGAAUCAUACGUGUUUCUCAUUUUAAUAUCACUUGGCAGUGGAAUCCACAAUUUUUCUGGUGUUUUUAUACUUGUAUUCUUGCAUUCAGGAACAAGACACCAACAAUAUGUAUUGUAAUUCAUUAUUACAAAAAUCUUUUUACUUUAGUCUUACGUAGAGCCGUAUUGUUUACUAAAAGUAUGAC